rnacentral:rRNA from 1 species
GACGAACGCUGGCGGCGUGCUUAACACAUGCAAGUCGAACGGAAAGGCCUCUUUCGGGGGGUACUCGAGUGGCGAACGGGUGAGUAACACGUGAGUAACCUGCCCUUGACUUUGGGAUAACUUCAGGAAACUGGGGCUAAUACCGGAUAGGAGCUCCUGCUGCAUGGUGGGGGUUGGAAAGUUUCGGCGGUUGGUGAUGGACUCGCGGCUUAUCAGCUUGUUGGUGGGGUAGUGGCUUACCAAGGCUUUGACGGGUAGCCGGCCUGAGAGGGUGACCGGCCACAUUGGGACUGAGAUACGGCCCAGACUCCUACGGGAGGCAGCAGUGGGGAAUAUUGCACAAUGGGUGGAAGCCUGAUGCAGCAACGCCGUGUGCGGGAUGACGGCCUUCGGGUUGUAAACCGCUUUCGCUCAUGACGAAGCUUUGUGUGACGGUAGUGGGUAAAGAAGCACCGGCUAACUACGU